rnacentral:rRNA from 1 species
UAGGGAAUCUUCGGCAAUGGACGGAAGUCUGACCGAGCAACGCCGCGUGAGUGAAGAAGGUUUUCGGAUCGUAAAGCUCUGUUGUUAGAGAAGAACGUUGGUAGGAGUGGAAAAUCUACCAAGUGACGGUAACUAACCAGAAAGGGACGGCUAACUACGUGCCAGCAGCCGCGGUAAUACGUAGGUCCCGAGCGUUGUCCGGAUUUAUUGGGCGUAAAGCGAGCGCAGGCGGUUCUUUAAGUCUGAAGUUAAAGGCAGUGGCUUAACCAUUGUACGCUUUGGAAACUGGAGGACUUGAGUGCAGAAGGGGAGGGUGGAAUUCCAUGUGUAGCGGUGAAAUGCGUAGAUAUAUGGAGGAACACCGGUGGCGAAAGCGGCUCUCGGGUCUGUAACGGACGCUGAGGCUCGAAAGCGUGGGGAGCAAACAGG